UACGUAGGGGGCAAGCGUUGUCCGGAUUUAUUGGGCGUAAAGAGCGUGUAGGCGGCUGGGUAGGUCCGUUGUGAAAACUCGAGGCUCAACCUCGAGAUGCCGAUGGAAACCCUCCAGCUAGAGUCCGGAAGAGGAGAGUGGAAUUCCUGGUGUAGCGGUGAAAUGCGCAGGAUAUCAGGAAGAACACCCGUGGCUAAGGCGGC
rnacentral:rRNA from 1 species